AGAGGGUGCAAACGUUGCUCGGAUUUACUGGGCGUAAAGCGCGUGUAGGCGGACUCGCAAGUCGGUUGUGAAAUCCCUGGGCUUAACCUAGGAACUGCAUCCGAAACUGCUUGUCUUGAGUAAUGGAGAGGGUGGCGGAAUUCCCGGUGUAGAGGUGAAAUUCGUAGAUAUCGGGAGGAACAUCAGUGGCGAAGGCGGCCACCUGGACAUUUACUGACGCUGAGACGCGAAAGCGUGGGGAGCAAACAGGAUUAGAUACCCUGGUAGCCCACGCCGUAAACGAUGAGAACUAGGUGCAGCGGAUAUUGACCUCUGCUGUGCCGUAGCUAACGCGUUAAGUUCUCCGCCCUGGGAGUACGGCCGCAAGGCUA
rnacentral:rRNA from 1 species